AGUGCUGUGGCUCAGUGGUAGAGCAUCUGCUUUGCGUGCAGAAAGUCCCAGGUUCAAUCCCUGGCAGGGUUG